GUAUUUGCAAGACGGCAAGACGCUCUAGCAGCUGUUAAGAGGCAGAACGUGACGGAUCCAAUGAGUACAUGGAUUAUGAACUGUAAAGAAAUGCUGACAGGAUCAUGAUCAGGAUAUGAAUUCUUGGUUUUAUUCUAUAAUUAUUCAGAUGCUGGACUUCACUUACAUAUAUACACAUACAAACAAUAUUCUUCCAAACAUGCUGUUGGUGGACAUAGAGAGAUGUGGAAGUCCCGGUUGCUUGCGUCAUAUUGGUGCUCCUGUUUUGCCUCCCACAUUACGGGACCCACCGUGUAGGGUUCUUGUUUGCACCUAUCGUGAUCAUGUGGCUUCUGUGCAUCAGCGCCAUCGGAGUUCACAACAUUUUUUACCGGAACCCACAAGUUUUUCAAGCGUCAUCGCCUUAUUACAUGUACAAGUUUCUUAAGAAAACAAAAAUAGGAGGAUGGAUGUCAUUGGGUUAGAUCUUGCUGUGGAUAACAGGUAUAGAUCGGCUAUUCUCUUGGUAGAUUGACUUUUAAAACGACUUUUGUUGACUUGGGUUCUUGACAUUUUACUCAAUUUGGUAUUUCAAAUGCGGUUCUUGAUAUGAUGUUAUCUGCAAAUGGCUUUUACGUUUGUGGUUUAC